rnacentral:lncRNA from 1 species
UAGAGGAUGGUUUGGCACAGGUUCAGAGCCGAGGGAUGUAGGGAUAGAUGUUUGAUUCCAACACCAGCAGCAAUGAUGCAUUGCAUGGAUCUAUGCGAGAUUACAGGCACCGUGGAUCAAGGCUCCAGGGAGACCAUGUCAGAUGGGUAGUUUGUAGUGAGAGUGGAUCUAGAUACCUAUAAGGAGGCUGAGGAGAGUCUCGAGAGAGAUAGGUGGGUCUAGGAUAGGUGAGCUGCAAAACCCUCUAGGAGAAGUUGAAGCGAUGAUUGGUGCAAGUGCAGAAAGGAAAGACUCAGAUUUUCAAGAUUCAGUCAUUGGCUCAGAAGAGUUGGAUGAGCUCUUAUUAGUUUUGGAGGAGCCUGUGGGGUGCAGAGGAUCCGAAAUGGCCUAGGAGGGAUCCACAGGAUGCGGAAGGUUCGAAGGGGCAGCGACGGUGAUUAAGGUACAAUGACAAAUCCAGCAGGACAGCAUUGGAUGGUUGGCCUUGGGUGAGAUGGGUAUAGAGUCGACUUCUGUAACAUCAAGAGGACUUCAAUUUCAAGUGGAGCAUCGGACAGAGGUGGCAUCACAAGUGGAGAUGGAUUUUAGCACAUGUUCAGAACGGAGGGGUGCAAGAGGAGAAACGAUAUCCCAGCAUCAAUGCCAGGGCUACACAGAG